AGAGUUUGAUCAUGGCUCAGGACGAACGCUGGCGGCGUGCCUAAUACAUGCAAGUCGAACGCUUCUUUCCUCCCGAGUGCUUGCACUCAAUUGGAAAGAGGAGUGGCGGACGGGUGAGUAACACGUGGGUAACCUACCCAUCAGAGGGGGAUAACACUUGGAAACAGGUGCUAAUACCGCAUAACAGUUUAUGCCGCAUGGCAUAAGAGUGAAAGGCGCUUUCGGGUGUCGCUGAUGGAUGGACCCGCGGUGCAUUAGCUAGUUGGUGAGGUAACGGCUCACCAAGGCCACGAUGCAUAGCCGACCUGAGAGGGUGAUCGGCCACACUGGGACUGAGACACGGCCCAGACUCCUACGGGAGGCAGCAGUAGGGAAUCUUCGGCAAUGGACGAAAGUCUGACCGAGCAACGCCGCGUGAGUGAAGAAGGUUUUCGGAUCGUAAAACUCUGUUGUUAGAGAAGAACAAGGACGUUAGUAACUGAACGUCCCCUGACGGUAUCUAACCAGAAAGCCACGGCUAACUACGUGCCAGCAGCCGCGGUAAUACAUAGGUGGCAAGCGUUGUCCGGAUUUAUUGGGCGUAAAGCGAGCGCAGGCGGUUUCUUAAGUCUGAUGUGAAAGCCCCCGGCUCAACCGGGGAGGGUCAUUGGAAACUGGGAGACUUGAGUGCAGAAGAGGAGAGUGGAAUUCCAUGUGUAGCGGUGAAAUGCGUAGAUAUAUGGAGGAACACCAGUGGCGAAGGCGGCUCUCUGGUCUGUAACUGACGCUGAGGCUCGAAAGCGUGGGGAGCAAACAGGAUUAGAUACCCUGGUAGUCCACGCCGUAAACGAUGAGUGCUAAGUGUUGGAGGGUUUCCGCCCUUCAGUGCUGCAGCAAACGCAUUAAGCACUCCGCCUGGGGAGUACGACCGCAAGGUUGAAACUCAAAGGAAUUGACGGGGGCCCGCACAAGCGGUGGAGCAUGUGGUUUAAUUCGAAGCAACGCGAAGAACCUUACCAGGUCUUGACAUCCUUUGACCACUCUAGAGAUAGAGCUUUCCCUUCGGGGACAAAGUGACAGGUGGUGCAUGGUUGUCGUCAGCUCGUGUCGUGAGAUGUUGGGUUAAGUCCCGCAACGAGCGCAACCCUUAUUGUUAGUUGCCAUCAUUUAGUUGGGCACUCUAGCGAGACUGCCGGUGACAAACCGGAGGAAGGUGGGGAUGACGUCAAAUCAUCAUGCCCCUUAUGACCUGGGCUACACACGUGCUACAAUGGGAAGUACAACGAGUCGCUAGACCGCGAGGUCAUGCAAAUCUCUUAAAGCAUCUCUCAGUUCGGAUUGCAGGCUGCAACUCGCCUGCAUGAAGCCGGAAUCGCUAGUAAUCGCGGAUCAGCACGCCGCGGUGAAUACGUUCCCGGGCCUUGUAGA
rnacentral:rRNA from 1 species